GGUCACCUCCCACCCGUGUUUAUUUUACCUUGUUGCUUCGGCGGGCCCGCCUUAACUGGCCGCCGGGGGGCUUACGCCCCCGGGCCCGCGCCCGCCGAAGACACCCUCGAACUCUGUCUGAAGAUUGUAGUCUGAGUGAAAAUAUAAAUUAUUUAAAACUUUCAACAACGGAUCUCUUGGUUCCGGCAUCGAUGAAGAACGCAGCGAAAUGCGAUACGUAAUGUGAAUUGCAAAUUCAGUGAAUCAUCGAGUCUUUGAACGCACAUUGCGCCCCCUGGUAUUCCGGGGGGCAUGCCUGUCCGAGCGUCAUUUCUGCCCUCAAGCACGGCUUGUGUGUUGGGCCCCGUCCUCCGAUCCCGGGGGACGGGCCCGAAAGGCAGCGGCGGCACCGCGUCCGGUCCUCGAGCGUAUGGGGCUUUGUCACCCGCUCUGUAGGCCCGGCCGGCGCUUGCCGAUCAACCCAAAUUUUUAUCCAGGUUGACCUCGGAUCAGGUAGGGAUACCCGCUGAACUUAAGCAUAUCAAUAAGCGGAGGAA
rnacentral:rRNA from 1 species